GAGACGGCUAACCUAAACCAAGAGCCUGAAUCAUUAAAGGAGCCAGAGAGGGUGACUCCAGUCUCCAGUCCCAAGGAAGAAAACGUUCCUGAAACUGACAACGGAGACAGUGAGGCCGUGGAAAGCAAAGAGGAGAGUAACCCCGAAGAGAAUCCAGUUAUGAACUUCUUCAAAACCCUAGUGACCCCUACUAAAACGUCCAAAAAGGAAACGGCUAUUCCCGAUGCCGCAAAAGUUAAGUCCCAGAAGGAGACCCAACCAGCGGCAACCACUACUGUUGCACAAAUAUCUGAACCGCCUGCAGCACCGAAAGGAAUGUCCGUCCCACCACCCCCACCUCCAGAGCCACCGAAAAUGGAAAUCAAAGGAGAGCCAACUGCCAAACCUGUAAAGGCCUCGGCGAAAGAAGAACCUAAAGCUGCUGAAAAGGAGCCUGUGUCCUCGAAAGGAAAAUCAGCCAAAGAUACUCUGAGCAAAUUAUUCCGCCAGAAGUUUGAGGUAUUGCUAGGAGUCAAGACCUCCAAAAGCAAUGGUGCUUCAGCAAGUGGAGCCAAAGCCCCGGGCAAGACUGCAGCAGUGAAGGUGGAUUCCUCAAAAGCUGACACCCGGGAGGCUGCUGCAAAACCAGAGCCACCACCACCUGCUCAGGAAGAGAAGAAAAGCGCCUCAAAAUCACCAUUCCUUUCUUUCUUCAAGCCCCAAGUACUAUUAGAUCACAUGACCACAAAAGUCCAGGCAGCCUCCACAAGUGGAAUUCGGUUCCUCAGGAAAACUACUGGACUGGCUGCUGAGCCCAAGAAGGUGACCCCGACCCCACCUGCAGCAGCGGAGGCAGCUCAAGCAGUUAAAGCCAAGGAGGAACCUAAAGUGGCAGCCAAGUCUUCAGAGCAAGCUGCAGAUAACAAACCAGCCUCUGUGCCUUCCCAAGCUGGCGAUGAUGCAGCCAGUGUGCCCAAAAAACUGGAAAAGAGGAACUCCAUUCAGCUAUUCUUUAAAAAUCUGACUCAGAAACGUCCUUCUACAGACGCCGGAGUCCAGACAGAGCCACUGACCGCUGCUCAAGGAGCUGAGAAAGCCAAAUGAGACCAGAAGCAACCCUUACGUUUUCCUGUACAGUCUCCUUCCCUCCUUCUCACUUGUACUCAGUCCUUCUUUUUCUCUCUUAUCGCCUUCUUGAAUCCCCUGAGUUACUUUGACUACUUUGUUUUUUAAUUGUUACUGCUUAAAAGUCACGAUAUCAAAGGUAAGGUUUUGGAAGAGUAAAGGAAAGUGGACAGAACAGUUAGCAGGGAGUUGAACUUGUGGAGAUUUAAAAUGGUCAAAGGUUGUUUGGACAUAUUUUUUUGUCACAUAAAUGUCUUGUCAGCAAUGUGACAUUUUCUACAGACAUUUAAAAUGACUUUUCUCUGUUUUGCAAUCUAACAUACUGGGCUUAUGCAAUAUAUAGUGCCAUGCUUUGCCUUGAACAACUAUUUUGUGUUAAAUCAAUAAAACUCAAUGUCAUAUAGGUUCUAUUUUUACACUUCACACCAGAGAAUUCACACAGUUCAGGUAAUGCAGUGGUUAACAUGAAGUACGUAGAUAUGAGUCAUAGAAAUGCUCUUAAUGGAGCUGGUCUAAGGAGUAUUAAAGUUUAUAUAGCAGAGUGUGCUUACAGAUUUUUGAACUCUAUGCAAGUUAUAUGUGGACUAAAACAAAAAGCUAUCUUUUAGCUUUAAUGGGACAUCACAAUCUCUACUGAUCUUUGGGGAACUGAUUGUAAAUACUCAACAAAUGCUUAAAAAUGCAUCCGAGGUAUUGAAAUGGUGUCUUUGUGCAAAUGUCUCCUUGUGAUAAGCUCUGCAUUACUCAUAAAUCACAACCGAGAAGCUUUUAUUUUGAUUUUAGCACUUUGUCUCGUGUCAACUAACAAGUCUUCCGGUGUAAGUAAACUGUGUCAGGCGUAUGUGCAAUUAAUGUGACGCUUUAGUUUGUCGUUAUGUAGUGUGCAUGUGAAACUUGAGCUAUUCUGAAGACAAUAAAUGCAAAUAAAUAUACCACAUGUCUGUUUUGUUUCAGAGUUUUCAUUUUUAAUGUAAGCUAUAAAAGCAUGGGGAGUGUUAUCAAGAAUAAUUGGGUGUUCCAGCAAUUUUUAAAAAAAAAAGAUGACCAGGCAAGUUUGGCCAAAAAAAAUAAAAGAUGCCUCUAUUGCGUGAGCAGUGUCAUUGCAACCAUUUUUAUGCAUAUAUGAGUGCAGGAAAGGUGUGGCGUAUCACUCUACACCCAUUCCGGGUGUUGAGUCAAAUACUGUAAGUCUGACUCAUGUUCAUAAAGAUGUCUGACAAAUCAUAGGAAAAACCUGAUCCCUUGACCCCUUUGGUGAGAGGAUCUGGUGGUUGCAUGGCAACAUUUUUUGGGUCCACGUGUUCUCAUAUAGGGCAGAGUCAGUGCAAAUCAUUAUAAGAUUAUGGGGAGCCAUCUUAACCCUUUAUUAUGAUGAAAUGCUUCUGUUGGGAGUGGCCUCUUCCAAGAUGGCACCUCGAGCCACAAGUAUGUACAAGAAUUCAAAUCGCAUUCUGUGGCCUUCACAGUCAGCAGAUCAGUUUCCAUUUGAAAGAGUGGUCUAACAUGCUAGACAGCUGGCUAACGUGCUGCCAUGGUCAACAAAACAAGUUAGGGAGUGUUAUUUUUUGGAAAAGGUUUUCCUUUUUUGUUUGUUUUCCUUUAAUUUGUCACCCACUCGUAUAUAUUUGUAAUGCCAGCAAAUAAAUGUCAGUUACCUGGAGAAAAAGCAAAUUAACCAGAGUACAGC
ensembl:lncRNA